ACGCAAUAGAUACCCCGGUAGUCCAUGCCGUAAACGUUGGGCACUAGGUGUGGGGGACAUUCCACGUUUUCCGCGCCGUAGCUAAACGCAUUAAGUGCCCCGCCUGGGGAGUACGGCCGCAAGGCUAAAACUCAAAGGAAUUGACGGGGGCCCGCACAAGCGGCGGAGCAUGCGGAUUAAUUCGAUGCAACGCGAAGAACCUUACCAAGGCUUGACAUGGACCGGAUCGCCGCAGAAAUGUGGUUUCUCCUUUUGGGGCCGGUUCACAGGUGGUGCAUGGUUGUCGUCAGCUCGUGUCGUGAGAUGUUGGGUUAAGUCCCGCAACGAGCGCAACCCUCGUUCCAUGUUGCCAGCGCGUAAUGGCGGGGACUCAUGGGAGACUGCCGGGGUCAACUCGGAGGAAGGUGGGGACGACGUCAAAUCAUCAUGCCCCUUAUGUCUUGAGCUUCACGCAUGCUACAAUGGCCGGUACAAAGGGUUGCGAUACUGUGAGGUGGAGCUAAUCCCAAAAAGCCGGUCUCAGUUCGGAUUGGGGUCUGCAACUCGACCCC
rnacentral:rRNA from 1 species